rnacentral:tRNA from 19 species
GCGCCCAUAGCUCAAUUGGAUAGAGUACUUGACUACGAAUCAAGCGGUUAUAGGUUCGACUCCUAUUGGGCGCACCA